rnacentral:lncRNA from 1 species
GUUCACGACCAGCUUGGCCAACAUGGGGAAACCCCGUCUCUACAAAAAUUCAAAAAUUAGCUAGACAUGAUGGCAGGGGCCUGUAAUCCCAGCUACUCGGGAGGCUGAGGCAGGAGAAUCACUUGAACCUGGGGGGCGGAGGUUGCAGUGAGCCGACAUAGCGCCAUUGCACUCCAGCCUGGGCGACAGAGUGAAACUCCAUCUCAGAAAAAAAAAAAAAAACGUGAGUUCAAGGAACCUGACCCUCACGCUGUCUUAUUUCCACCUUGGGCGUUUAUUUCCUUGUUUAUUUGUGUUUCUUUUCUCCUCCCCAGAAAGCUGACUUCAUGAGACCGAGGAUCUCGUUCGUUGAUCGAUGCUACAUAUUCAGCAUGUUAGAUAAUGAGGUUGGUGAGAUUGAUGAAAUCCCGCCCACCAGGGCCGACCCACAAAGAGCCACUUUAUGAAGAACAUGCUCCUGAACUCCACUCCACAACCAGCUUUUGAAAAGAAAAAUCUGAAAAAAUUUGACCUCAGUUAAACUGGUCCAAAUGCCUGAGCAUAACCAAAAUCUUUCCUCAUUCACUCUUCACGUGGACCGUGUUUAAUUUGGUUGCUGGUGAUCAUAUUUGUUUUAGUAAAGGCUGUCACUCUAUCUUGGGCGAAGAUUUGGGUUCUGU